rnacentral:rRNA from 1 species
UAAUACGAAGGGGGCUAGCGUUGCUCGGAAUGACUGGGCGUAAAGGGCGCGUAGGCGGCGCAUUUAGUCAGGCGUGAAAGUCCUGGGCUCAACCUGGGGACGGCGCUUGAUACGGGUGUGCUUGAGUGCGGAAGAGGGUCGUGGAAUUCCCAGUGUAGAGGUGAAAUUCGUAGAUAUUGGGAAGAACACCGGUGGCGAAGGCGGCGACCUGGUCCGUGACUGACGCUGAGGCGCGAAAGCGUGGGGAGCAAACAGG